CUACAUUGAACUCAGAUUUCGUCAGCAGCGGGCUGUGAUGAUUAUGAACAAGUUCGUUGUCGACGAAACCUGCAUACUGUGUGG
rfam:Drosophila virilis strain TSC#15010-1051.87 Ctg01_15837, whole genome shotgun sequence.